rnacentral:rRNA from 1 species
CAAUAGCGUAUAUUAAAGUUGUUGCAGUUAAAAAGCUCGUAGUUGGACCUUGGACCUGGACAGGCGGUCCGCCUCACGGCGUGUACUGUCUUGCUGGGUCUUUCCUCUUGGUGAUCUGUUGUCUCGGCAGCAGGGAACCAGGACUUUUACUUUGAAAAAAUUAGAGUGUUCAAAGCAGGCUCGACGCCGGAAUAUAUUAGCAUGGAAUAAUAAAAUAGGACGUGCGGUUCUAUUUUGUUGGUUUUUGGAAUCGCCGUAAUGAUUAAUGGGGACAGUCGGGGGCAUUAGUACUCACAUGCUAGAGGUGAAAUUCUUGGAUUUUGUGAAGACUAACUUCUGCGAAAGCAUUUGCCAAGGAUGUUUUCAUUAA